GCCAAGAUAGCUCAGUCGGUAGAGCACAGCACUGAAAAUGCUGGGGUCAUCGGUUCGAUCCCGAUUCUUGGCA
rnacentral:tRNA from 1 species